UGUCACGUAAGUGGCAGAAUAAAAUGACGCUUGCAGCGGUCACACACAGAUAAUUGCGUGUGUUCCUUACUGCUCCACAGAUGCAUCAGGGAUGACAGCAGCCUUGAAACAACUGCCAUGUAAAAGCACAUUCAAGAACUUGGGAGAGCUUCACAAGGACUGAGGCUGAAAUCCGUGCUUCAAAGACCAGGAGACACAGACGUGUUUAGCCCAACAGAUUCUGAUGGUGCUAUCUGCCUGGUGGAGCCCCUUCACACCACAACAGACCUUGUAACUGAUGAAGAGGAUGAAACUGUAUCUGCUGCCUUUACAGAGAGGGAUCCAGAAAGGCAUACAGAGAGCAUGGCUGGGCAGCAGCAGGAUGGUCCCUCAACUUCCACUGCACAGACUGACACAGUGAGAUGGAUGUUCAGUAAAAACCAGAGGUUCAGUCCAUGGAAUUCAUGUGCAACUGUAUAAUUUAAUGUCCUCUGUGUAUUCCCAGUUAUCAGUAAAACAGAUUUACAAACUGCACUUGCUGACAAAAAUCCAAAAAACAGAUAAAGAAACGCAAUAUUUGGACCACCAGAUUAGGAUGGCAGAUCUGGAAAUUGAAAUACUGGAGCACAAGUUAGAGGUGGAUGCAGGUCACAGGUGAAUUAUGUUAACUAUUGGAACAUUAACUAAACUAGCUCUUUUAUUUGUAGGAAAUAAAGAAGACCAAAUGAAAUGUG